AGGACGAACGCUGGCGGCGUGCCUAACACAUGCAAGUGGAGCGACGAACCAGGCUUCGGCCUGGGGCAGAGCCGCGAACGGGUGAGUAACACGUGGGUAACCUGCCCUGAUGAUUGGGACAACCCGAGGAAACUCGGGCUAAUACCGAAUGUGCCCUCCGGCCUCAAGGCCGCUGGGGAAAGGAAGCUUCGGCCUCCGCAUCGGGAUGGGCCCGCGGCCCAUUAGCUUGUUGGUGAGGUAACGGCUCACCAAGGCAACGAUGGGUAGCUGGUCUGAGAGGACGAUCAGCCACACUGGGACUGAGACACGGCCCAGACUCCUACGGGAGGCAGCAGUGGGGAAUCUUGCGCAAUGCGCGAAAGCGUGACGCAGCAACGCCGCGUGGGGGAAGAAGGCCUUCGGGUUGUAAACCCCUUUCAGUUGGGACGAAGCUCCGCCGGUGAAUAGCCGGCUGGAGUGACGGUACCUUCAGAAGAAGCCCCGGCUAACUACGCGCCAGCAGCCGCGGUAAU
rnacentral:rRNA from 1 species